ACUCACUCACACUGAACGAUGGCAACCUUGAGUCGAAGUGAGUUGGUGGAGCUGAUUAACAUUGAACAGCAACUGAUAAUAUUGAGAAGGAGGAGGAGAAGAACAACCACAAAAUAGGAGACGGAGGUGGCAUGCGCGUCCACUGAAUCAAUCGAGGUGGAGGACGGGCGAAUAUGCAUCUCUUAUUCGACCUCUGAGGGAUAUGGACGAAGAAAUGCACUUCCAGUAUUUUUCGAAUGUCGGCUGCUAGAUUUGAUGACCUUUUUUCUCGUGUGCAACCACACAUACUGCAUCGUGUCACACACAGCAUGCCAAUUGACGUUGCCCAGAAACUGGCUGUGACGUUACGAGUUUUCAGUGGUGGAAGAAGUACUGAAGUUUAGUACUUAAAUAAAAGUACAAGUACCCAGGAAAAUAAAAGUAAAAGUAAAAGUACUUACUUUUAAAUUUACCUUAAGUAUUAAAAGUAAAAGUACUCACGCAAUGGGUUGUCUCUCAAUGUCUAGGCUAUGCCAUUUUGAUAAAGAAAUAGCUACUGGUAAUAAAUGCCUCUACAGAUGUCACUACUAGUAAUAAUUAUAAGCAACAACAUUUGUUAAUUGGAAAGGUUGGUGUACUUAUUGUGCCUACCAGCUGUAAUACUGUUCACACUAUAUCUUACAAUUCUGCGGAUGACAAGUUAUCUACCAGGGAUUAUUUGCAAAGUUAAUACCAUAAGCCAAACCAAUAAAGACACCAUGUGAUAUCUUUAAAUCUUUUAUUUAAUUGUAAACGUGUAAAAAAAGGGAAACAUGGAACAUAAAAAACAAAUGUAAUUGUAAAACUGGACAGAACAAGGCACACUAGCUUGACAUAGCUAACCUACCAGCUUUAUUACCACUACGUUAAAUAUAUAAUGAAGAUACAAUCAUGUUUUUUGAUGCUAUUGCUGUAUGUCAACAUGCAUUUCGCUAGAUAACAUUAUAAUAUCAUGUCAGUAAACGAAUGAAAUACAUAUAUCAAUUAUUCAAAAGUCAGGGACAUUAACUUAGCAUAGCAAUCACUCUGCUUACCUCGAUAUGCUACUUUAAAUUUGAGGGCGAAUUAUUGAAAGCUAGCAACUCCUUUUUUUGAGGGAGACAGGAACCGCAUUGAAACCUCCAGGAGUCAUUCUUGGGGCUUUUGAACUCGAACAUAUCUUUUAAAUAGGGCCAAGGGUGGCUCAUAUCAGAGGGCUCAGUUCAGGCCGACUCUGGAUCCAUGUUGAAUAGGCAGUAGUCAGGCUGUCUGUUGAAUGUUCAGGUAUAACAUGCAAAGCUACCGCUAGUGCUGCUGCCAAAUGCGCACUCUGAUAUCAUUGGAUAGAGCCACCUGAUUGGUUUAAACUUCCAAAACAGCAACGCAAUCCAUAGUUUUGGCGACUAUGGAACUUCCCAAACUGUGUUGGAAGCACGUUACCAUCAAGGCACCACCUCAUGCCGGGGGUGACUACUUCAAUUAUAAAGGUAGUCACUCUAUUGUCCUGAUGGCAACGUGCGAUGCCAGGUAUCAGUUCAUUAUGGCGGACGUCGGGGAUAUGGACGGGAGAGCGACGGCGGCCUUUUUAAGGAGAGCGCAUUUGGUUCACAGCUGCGCGACAACAAGAUGAACCUGCCGCCAUCAGCUUUUCUUCCCGGGACCAGAAUCGAUGCCCCCCUGCACAACAUCAUGCGUCCAUGAAUUGCCAGAUUGAUAUUUGACAGAACGUAGUAUAUUAUCUAUGACUAGUGCAAACAUGUUCUAUUCAGUAACACUCUGCAUGUUUUGUUUUUUAUCAGGGGCAAAUCUGAGCAGGGAGAAACAAAUGUUCAAUUAAAGACUCUCCAGAGCCAGGAGGGUCAUUGAAAAUACCUUUGGUAUCAUGGCGGCACGUUGGAGGAUUCUUGGCAGGUCAAUUGAGUUCCUGCCAGACAAAGCUAUGGAUGUUGUCCAGGCCUGUGUUGUUCUACACAAUUACCUGGCCUAUACAGAUGAGGCGAACACACCCGGGAGCCGCUACAUACCACCCAGUUACUCUGAUGCAGACUCAGGAGGAUCGGUACAGCCUGGUGAGUGGCGCAGAGUGGUGGCUGGCGACUCCAAUCUAUCACAGACACCACAGAUCUCAAGGAGCCAUUCCACCAGAGCUGCUAUGGGUGUGAGGAAUGAAUGUACGCAAUUAUUUCUGAGACCAGAGGGAGAGGUUCCAUGGCAGAACGACAGUGUCCCGUGGCACACUUGGACCCUGAUGAUCUUACCUUAUACGCUAACUUUUAGAAUUGUAAAUUUAAAAAAAAAAAAACUGUUUCUAUACAUAUUUGUUGUCUUAUUUUGUCUUUACUUUGCAUACAAACAAGGUGCCAAACACAAGCUAUUCCAAAAAUACUAGAAAACUAUU
ensembl:lncRNA